rfam:Pelecanus crispus contig59060, whole genome shotgun sequence.
GCCGGGUUAGCUCAGUUGGUUAGAGCAUGGUGCUAAUAACACCAAGUUCACAGGUUCAGUCCCUGCUUACUGCA